GAUGAACGCUAGCGGCAGGCAUAAUACAUGCAAGUUGAACGGGAUUCAGAUAGCAAUAUUUGAUGAGAGUGGCGCACGGGUGCGUAACACGUAUGCAACUUACCUUAAACUGGGAGAUAGCCCGUGGAAACAUGGUUUAAUAUCCCAUAGUAUAAAGAACAGGCAUUUGUUUUUUAUUAAAGCUCCGGCGGUUUAAGAUGGGCAUGCGCGUCAUUAGCUAGAUGGAGAGGUAACGGCUCACCAUGGCAACGAUGACUAGGGGGUCUGAGAGGAUGUCCCCCCACACUGGUACUGAGACACGGACCAGACUCCUACGGGAGGCAGCAGUAGGGAAUAUUGGGCAAUGGACGCAAGUCUGACCCAGCCAUGCCGCGUGCAGGAAGACGGCCCUCUGGGUUGUAAACUGCUUUUAUCAGGGAAGAAACCCUUCUACGUGUAGGAGGCUGACGGUACCUGAGGAAUAAGGAUCGGCUAACUCCGUGCCAGCAGCCG
rnacentral:rRNA from 1 species